ACCCUCUUCUGCAGAGUUCCCAAGAGCACAGCUCCUCACCAUGGAUUGGACCUGGAGAAUCCUCCUCUUGGUGGCAGCUGUGAAAAGUGCCCAUGGCCAGGUGCAGCUGGUGCAGUCUGGAGCUGAGCUGAGGAGGCCCGGGGCCUCAGUGAAGGUCUCCUGCAAGGCAUCUGGCUACACCUUCACAGAGUACUUCAUGCACUGGGUGCGGCAGGGCCCUGGACAGGGGCUGGAGUGGAUCGGAAGGCUCAACCCUUACAAUGGUGAUACAAUAUAUGAGCAGAAGUUUCAGGGCAGGGUCACCCUCACCAGAGACACACUCUCCAGCACAGCCUACAUGGAGCUGAACAGUCUGAGGACUGAGGACACGGCCGUGUAUUACUGUGCGAGACACAGUGUGGUGAACCACAUCCUGACUGUGUCAGAAACCCUGAGGGAGGAGCAGCUGCCUUAG